rfam:Triticum aestivum genome assembly, contig: Triticum_aestivum_CS42_TGACv1_scaffold_513415_6BS
CAAGUACUCCCUUCGUCCAAAAAAACUUGUCAUCAAAAUGGACAAAACGGAAUGUAUCUAGAACUAUCUAGAUACAUUCCUUUUUGUCCAUUUUGAUGACAAGUUUUUUCGGACGGAGAGAGUAGUAG